UACGAAGGGGGCUAGCGUUGCUCGGAAUCACUGGGCGUAAAGGGUGCGUAGGCGGGUCUUUAAGUCAGGGGUGAAAUCCUGGAGCUCAACUCCAGAACUGCCCUUUGAUACUGAGGAUCUUGAGUUCGGGGAGAGGUGAGUGGAACUGCGAGUGUAGAGGUGAAAUUCGUAGAUAUUCGCAAGAACACCAGUGGCGAAGGCGGCUCACUGGCCCGAUACUGACGCUGAGGCACGAAAGCGUGGGGAGCAAACAGG
rnacentral:rRNA from 1 species